GGGGUCGUACUGGAUUUGACAGCGAUAGCAGUCGUUUGGUGCAAGCAUGUCGAGCAAUGUGGUGAGGCUCGUAAAUCUUUAGUCACAAACUAUAAUUGACAAUACGUCUUUUAGACUUGCUGCCUAAUUUGUUAAACAAAUUAAGCUUCAUCGCGUGGAAGUAUAGUACACCGACGAGUUCCUUCUCCUUUGCUUCUGUCUGUUAAGCGAGGAACUAGAAGGACCAUUCAUUACAGAAUAGAACUAGUGAUUCUUCUAAGUUAGUUCGAGAUUGAGAAGAUAAGUGUAACUAUUUGGGUGUCUUUGUCCGAGGUUACAUCGAAAAUCGAAUCAUAGAAUAAGCAUGUAGAAAGCUAAAUUAUUCGUCGUUUGGACGAGGGUUCGAAACCCUCCGACUCCACU
rnacentral:tmRNA from 1 species